UGGCUGAGUAGUAAAGCACUUGUCUUCAGAACCGACGGUCCCGGGUUCGAAUCCUGG
rfam:Biomphalaria glabrata isolate BB02 unplaced genomic scaffold LGTN_random_Scaffold245, whole genome shotgun sequence.